UACGUAGGCAGCAAGCGUUGUUCGGAGUUAUUGGGCGUAAAGGGCGCGUAGGCGGCUGAACAAGUCAAAGGUGAAAUCCCUCGGCUCAACUGAGGAACUGCCUUUGAAACUGUUCGGCUUGAGGCCGGGAGGGGGUAGCGGAAUUCCCAGUGUAGCGGUGAAAUGCGUAGAUAUUGGGAGGAACACCAGUGGCGAAGGCGGCUACCUGGACCGGUUCUGACGCUGAGGCGCGAAAGCGUGGGUAGCAAACAGG
rnacentral:rRNA from 1 species